CUUUCCCUGUGUUAAAGAUACACCCUGUGUUAAUGAUACAGAGAAGAUUAGUAUGGCCCCUGCACAAGGAUGACAUAUAAAUUUGUGAAGUGUUCCAUAUUUUU